rnacentral:rRNA from 1 species
UACGUAGGGUGCGAGCGUUGUCCGGAAUUAUUGGGCGUAAAGAGCUCGUAGGCGGUUUGUUGCGUCGGCCGUGAAAACCUGCAGCUUAACUGUGGGCCUGCGGCCGAUACGGGCAGACUUGAGUUCGGUAGGGGAGACUGGAAUUCCUGGUGUAGCGGUGAAAUGCGCAGAUAUCAGGAGGAACACCGGUGGCGAAGGCGGGUCUCUGGGCCGAUACUGACGCUGAGGAGCGAAAGCGUGGGGAGCGAUCCGG